rnacentral:rRNA from 1 species
CCUACGGGAGGCAGCAGUGAGGAAUAUUGGUCAAUGGGCGCAAGCCUGAACCAGCCAAGUCGCGUGAGGGAAGACGGCCCUACGGGUUGUAAACCUCUUUUGCCGGGGAGCAAGCCUGAGCACGUGUGCCCAGGCGGAGAGUACCCGGAGAAAAAGCAUCGGCUAACUCCGUGCCAGCAGCCGCGGUAAUACGGAGGAUGCGAGCGUUAUCCGGAUUUAUUGGGUUUAAAGGGUGCGCAGGCGGGCUGUUAAGCCGGCGGUAAAAAUUCAGGGCUCAACCCUGUCGAGCCGUCGGAACUGGCAGUCUUGAGUGGGCGAGAAGUAUGCGGAAUGCGUGGUGUAGCGGUGAAAUGCAUAGAUAUACGGAGGAACACCAGUGGCGAAGGCGGAUUGCUGGACAGUAACUGACGCUGAGGCGCGAAAGCGUGGGGAGCAAACAGGAUUAGAUACCCGAGUAGUC